ACCAGAGUAAGAAAAGAAGCGUUAAGUGAUAGCGAGAUGGAAUGUUGCUCCUAUACGAAAAAAUGCUGGACAUUUUGCGGUUUCUUUUCUGCAUUCGCUGCA
rnacentral:ncRNA from 18 species